ACUCCUACGGGAGGCAGCAGUAGGGAAUCUUCCACAAUGGACGAAAGUCUGAUGGAGCAGCGCCGCGUGAGUGAAGAAGGGUUUCGGCUCGUAAAACUCUGUUGUUAAAGAAGAACAUAUCUGAGAGUAACUGUUCAGGUAUUGACGGUAUUUAACCAGAAAGCCACGGCUAACUACGUGCCAGCAGCCGCGGUAAUACGUAGGUGGCAAGCGUUGUCCGGAUUUAUUGGGCGUAAAGCGAGCGCAGGCGGUUUUUAAGUCUGAUGUGAAAGCCUUCGGCUCAACCGAAGAAGUGCAUCGGAAACUGGGAAACUUGAGUGCAGAAGAGGACAGUGGAACUCCAUGUGUAGCGGUGAAAUGCGUAGAUAUAUGGAAGAACACCAGUGGCGAAGGCGGCUGUCUGGUCUGUAACUGACGCUGAGGCUCGAAAGUAUGGGUAGCAAACAGGAUUAGAUACCCUGGUAGGAUAGCG
rnacentral:rRNA from 1 species